UGAGAAGCUGGCAGCUGGUUGAAAUGAUUGGACAAAGUGGGAUUUUUGAUAGAGCAUUAGGGUGAACACCUCACCAUACAUUAGCUACUUAGGCCAUCAAGUGUCUGUAGUCCAUGUUGGACACCACGACCUGGAGAAGUCCGGUCCUGGAUGGCUGCGGUGAUGACCUCGCCCAAGAUGAACCAACCCUUCUACGAUGAGGACUUUGCCCAAAAUGAACCGACCCUUCUACGAUGACGCCUCUUUUCCACGUGAUGUCUUCAGAUGUUGGAACUUGCCAAACUGUACACAUGCCUCAAUGGCUGCUACGUCACUCUGCCCAACAGGACCAUGGUCACCGAGAUUU